rnacentral:rRNA from 1 species
GCAUAUCAAUAAGCGGAGGAAAAGAAACCAACCGGGAUUGCCUCAGUAACGGCGAGUGAAGCGGCAAAAGCUCAAAUUUGAAAUCUGGCUCCUUCGGGGUCCGAGUUGUAAUUUGCAGAGGAUGCUUCGGUUGCGGCCCCCAUCUAAGUACCCUGGAACGGGUCGUCAUAGAGGGUGAGAAUCCCGUAUGGGAUGGGGUGUCCGCGUCCGUGUGAAGCUCCUUCGACGAGUCGAGUUGUUUGGGAAUGCAGCUCUAAAUGGGUGGUAAAUUUCAUCUAAAGCUAAAUACUGGCCGGAGACCGAUAGCGCACAAGUAGAGUGAUCGAAAGAUGAAAAGCACUUUGAAAAGAGAGUUAAACAGCACGUGAAAUUGUUGAAAGGGAAGCGCUUGCGAUCAGACUCGCCUACGGGGUUCAGCCGGCUUUCGGGCCGGUGUACUUCCCCGUGGGCGGGCCAGCGUCGGUUUGGGCGGCCGGUCAAAGGCCCCUGGAAUGUAGCGCCUCUCGGGGCGCCUUAUAGCCAGGGGUGCAAUGCGGCCUGCCUGGACCGAGGAACGCGCUUCGGCACGGACGCUGGCAUAAUGGUCGUAAGCGACCCGUCUUGAAACACGGACCAAGGAGUCUAACAUCUACGCGAGUGUUCGGGUGUCAAACCCGUGCGCGGAGUGAAAGCGAACGGAGGUGGGAGCCCCCUCGCGGGGCGCACCAUCGACCGAUCCUGAUGUCUUCGGAUGGAUUUGAGUAAGAGCGUAAAUGUGGGGACCCGAAAGAUGGUGAACUAUGCCUGAAUAGGGCGAAGCCAGAGGAAACUCUGGUGGAGGCUCGCAGCGGUUCUGACGUGCAAAUCGAUCGUCGAAUUUGGGUAUAGGGGCGAAAGACUAAUCGAACCAUCUGGUAGCUGGUUCCUGUCGA